rnacentral:snRNA from 2 species
UCGCUUUGGCAGCACAUAUCCUAAAACUUGGAACGAUACAGAGAUUAGCAUGGCCCCUGUGCAAGGAUGACACGCAAAUUCGUGAAGCGUUCCAUAUUUUU